rnacentral:rRNA from 1 species
ACGGCUGAGUAACGCGUGGGUGACGUACCUGUUGGUGGGGAAUAACUGCCCGAAAGGGGUGGCUAAUUCCGCAUAAGUCCUUCGGUUCAUACUGAAGGGGAAAGCUUCGCAAGAGGCGCCGAUGGAGCGGCCCGCGUCCGAUUAGCUUGUUGGUGGGGUAACGGCCUACCAAGGCGACGAUCGGUAGCUGGUCUUAGAGGAUGAUCAGCCAGACUGGGACUGAGACACGGCCCAG